rnacentral:rRNA from 1 species
UACUAGAGUAGCACUCGCAUAUCAAUAAGCGGAGGAAAAGAAACUAACAAGGAUUCCCCUAGUAACGGCGAGUGAAGCGGGAAGAGCUCAAAUUUGAAAUCUUAAAGGGUUUCCCUUUACGAAUUGUAGUUUAAAGAAGUGUUUUCUGUUGAGGUUUUGGUAAAAGUUCUUUGGAAUAGGACAUCAUAGAGGGUGAGAAUCCCGUAUUUGACCUUUACUUUCAACUUUGUGAUACACUUUCAAAGAGUCGGAUUGUUUGGGAAUGCAGUCCAAAAUGGGUGGUAAAUUUCAUCUAAAGCUAAAUAUUGGCGAGAGACCGAUAGCGAACAAGUACCGUGAGGGAAAGAUGAAAAGAACUUUGAAAAGAGAGUUAAACAGUACGUGAAGUUGUCAAGAGGGAAGCGUUUGACACCAGUGUUGUUUUUCUGAAAAUCAAUUAAAGAACUGUUUAUGCUAAGCUGUUUAGACUUUAUCAGCUAUCUGUUUAGUUUUGAGCUUUUCUUUAAUGCACUUUUCAGUUAACAAGUCAACAUCAAUUUCUUUUGCUGUAAAAAAGCUUGAGGAAGGUGGCUUGAGAUUCGUCUUAAGUGUUUAUAGCCUCUUGCCUAUGCAGUCGGAGAGAUUGAGGUCUGCAGCGUAGAUCCUUCGGGGCUAAAUGCAUUUGUGCUAAGUUAUAGCAUUUUAUAGACAACUUGUUGACUAUGAUUUGUCUUGUAGCUUACUCGCUUAUGUUAUUUUACCUACGCUUAGGAUGUUGAACUACUGAGACAUAGA